rnacentral:rRNA from 1 species
UACGUAGGGUGCAAGCGUUAAUCGGAAUUACUGGGCGUAAAGCGUGCGCAGGCGGUUGUGCAAGACAGAUGUGAAAUCCCCGGGCUUAACCUGGGAACUGCAUUUGUGACUGCACAGCUGGAGUGCGGCAGAGGGGGAUGGAAUUCCGCGUGUAGCAGUGAAAUGCGUAGAUAUGCGGAGGAACACCGAUGGCGAAGGCAAUCCCCUGGGCCUGCACUGACGCUCAUGCACGAAAGCGUGGGGAGCAAACGGG